rnacentral:lncRNA from 1 species
UAACUCAAGCAAUCUUCCCUCAAAUAAUCUACUUCAGGUAAAUAACUGGACUGUCAUAAUAAACAAGGAAUUAAUGUUUGGGCAUCAAGUAUUCCAGAGUCUUGGUCUAAAUUCACUACAAAGCAGCUCAACAAUUCAAUUUCAAAUAUAAUGAGGAACACAAGAGAGUAUGAUACCGACAAAACAAUUAUGAACAGUGAUUUGAAAAAUAAUGGUCACGUUUCAAUAGAUGGUGAGAUAUUAAAAUUUGAAUAAUAUCAAGGAUUUCAAAGGAAAAAAUAUUUUUUUUUGAUUAAGAAUGAAUUAUUUAUUUAUCAAAUGAUUUUAGAUUACUUUUUUCAAAAAAUUAUAUAUUUAUAAGUAUUUGUACGUCUUUCCUUGUCAAUCAAAGAUAACAAUAGGGUAUUAUUUUUCUGACAAA